ACGCACGCUGGCGGCGUGCUUAACACAUGCACGUCGAACGGAAAGGCCCCUUUGGGGGUACUCGAGUGGCGACCGGGUGAGUAACACGUGAGUAACCUGCCCUUGACUUCGGGAUAACUUCAGGAAACUGGGGCUAAUACCGGAUAGGAAUCCUUGCUGCAUGGUGGGGGUUGGAAAGCUUCGGCGGUUUUGGAUGGACUCGCGGCUUAUCAGCUUGUUGGUGGGGUAGUGGCUUACCAAGGCUUUGACGGGUAGCCGGCCUGAGAGGGCGACCGGCCACAUUGGGACUGAGAUACGGCCCAGACUCCUACGGGAGGCAGCAGUGGGGAAUAUUGCACAAUGGGCGGAAGCCUGAUGCAGCAACGCCGCGUGCGGGAUGACGGCCUUCGGGUUGUAAACCGCGUUCAGCAGGGGCGAAGCUUGUGGUGACGGUACCUGCAGAAGAAGCACCGGCUAACUACGUG
rnacentral:rRNA from 1 species